rnacentral:rRNA from 1 species
UGGCGACCAUAGCAAGAGUGAACCACCUGAUCCCUUCCCGAACUCAGAAGUGAAACCUCUUAGCGCUGAUGGUAGUGUGGGAUUACCCAUGUGAGAGUACCUCUCAUCGCCAGCUC